rnacentral:tRNA from 1 species
GGGCGGUUAGCUCAGCCGGUUAGAGCGCUGCGUUCACAUCGCAGAGGUCAUCCGUUCGAAUCGGAUACCGCCCAC